UACGAAGGGGGCUAGCGUUGUUCGGAAUUACUGGGCGUAAAGCGCACGUAGGCGGACUAUUAAGUCAGGGGUGAAAUCCCGGGGCUCAACCCCGGAACUGCCUUUGAUACUGGUAGUCUCGAGUCCGGAAGAGGUGAGUGGAAUUCCGAGUGUAGAGGUGAAAUUCGUAGAUAUUCGGAGGUACACCAGUGGCGAAGGCGGCUCACUGGUCCGGUACUGACGCUGAGGUGCGAAAGCGUGGGGAGCAAACAGG
rnacentral:rRNA from 1 species